CGUGUAGGCGGCUUGUUAAGUCUGAUGUGAAAGCCCGGGGCUCAACCCCGGAAGUGCAUUGGAUACUGGCAAGCUUGAGUACGGGAGAGGAAAGUGGAAUUCCGAGUGUAGGGGUGAAAUCCGUAGAUAUUCGGAGGAACACCAGUGGCGAAGGCGGCUUUCUGGACCGAUACUGACGCUGAGACGCGAAAGCGUGGGGAGCAAACA
rnacentral:rRNA from 1 species